CCUACGGGUGGCAGCAGUGGGGAAUAUUGGGCAAUGGGCGCAAGCCUGACCCAGCAACGCCGCGGGAAGGAAGAAGGCUUUCGGGUUGUAAACUUCUUGUAAGAGGGAAGAGCAGAAGACGGUACCUCUUGAAUAAGCCACGGAUAACUACGUGCCAGCAGACGCGGUAAUACGUAGGUGGCAAGCGUUGUCCGGAUUUAUGGGGUGUAAGGGGCGUGUAGCCGGGCUGACAAGUCAGAUGUGAAAUCCGGGGGCUCAACCCCCGAACUGCAUUUGAAACUGUUGGUCUUGAGUAUCGGAGAGGCAGGCGGAAGUCCUAGUGUAGCAGUGAAAUGCGUAGAUAUUAGGCGGAACACCAGUGGCGAAGGCGGCCUGCUGGACGACAACUGACGGUGAGGCGCGAAAGCGUGGGGAGCAAACAGGAUUAGAUACCCCAGUAGUC
rnacentral:rRNA from 1 species